GCUUUUAUUUUGCUCCUUCAAAUCAGUGAAUACGUAUCACUUUAACGAAAAACACGCUUGAACGAGUUCACCGACAAAAAAUCCCUAGACAGUCAAAAUGAAGUUUUUCCCAGAGAAGAACCUGUUCACAGUAUACGAUCUCGAUUAUGAUUACUCAUUCUACCCACACGAAAAGUAUUUUUGGAGACAAAAAUAUUCCGGUCCAUUGACAUUUUAUCACAAUAUGCCAAUUUACGGGUCGGAUUCAGUUUUCGAUCCUCUUCCGACUUACAGAUUUUAUAAAUAUUUUAUUGAUCCCAUUCCAUCGGAAGAAUCGUUGAGACAAAUUCGUUUAUACAACAAUCUGUAUUUUCCUAAGAAACGUGUUUAUUAAAUAUAAUGGACGACGAAACAUUUUUAUAAAUCAUCAACACUGAUGUUAUACUAUAUACUUAUACGUUAUGUAAUCAUAAAAAUUUUAAUAAACAAAAAUUGAUAAACAAUUAUAA